rnacentral:rRNA from 1 species
CGGACGGGUGAGUAAUGUCUGGGAAACUGCCUGAUGGAGGGGGAUAACUACUGGAAACGGUAGCUAAUACCGCAUAACGUCGCAAGACCAAAGAGGGGGACCUUCGGGCCUCUUGCCAUCAGAUGUGCCCAGAUGGGAUUAGCUAGUAGGUGGGGUAACGGCUCACCUAGGCGACGAUCCCUAGCUGGUAUGAGAGGAUGACCAGCCACACUGGAACUGAGACACGGUCCAG